AGAUGUUAUUGAUGAUGAUGAUAUUCCCAUGUGUGCAUGCAUGGAAGAUAUGAGCAUCGUGGUAUCACGCUCUGACUGCACGCAGAUUGAU
rnacentral:ribozyme from 1 species